GGCGAACGCUGGCGGCGUGCCUAAUACAUGCAAGUAGAACGCUGAGGACUGGUGCUUGCACCGGUUCAAGGGGUUGCGAACGGGUGAGUAACGCGUAGGUAACCUACCUCAUAGCGGGGGAUAACUAUUGGAAACGAUAGCUAAUACCGCAUGACAAUGGAGGACCCAUGUCUUUCAUUUAAAAGGUGCAAUUGCAUCACUAUGAGAUGGACCUGCGUUGUAUUAGCUAGUUGGUGAGGUAACGGCCCACCAAGGCGACGAUGCGUAGCCGACCUGAGAGGGUGACCGGCCGCACUGGGACUGAGACACGGCCCAG
rnacentral:rRNA from 1 species